UCCGCUUAAUGAGGCACCUAUUUAUGUAUGAAAACACAUAUUAAAGUUAGCACAGACCUUUACGGUCAAAAUGAUGCCUUGUAUAGACCAAUGAUAUUCUCAGUUUGGUCCCUAGGGUGAAAAGAUCCGGUGUAGGUAUGGUCAAUAUUGGCGUUUGGCUAUCCAAAUUGGCGGUAGGGGGUCGAUUUAAUAUAUUUUUGGCUUACGUUCACAUAUUUUAGUAUAAGUAUAGAUUCAGGCAUGUAGUAAUCACCAUUAGCAUUAUUUUGAGCUAUAAUAUAACCCAAUGGCAUGCCUGGGCGGUGCUAGGGGAAGAUUUUCACUCUUAUGGAUAUUUGCCUUUAUGUUGAUUUUCUAGUCUUAUAUGAUGGUUUAUCGAGUUUUCCGCUUAAUUAGGAACCUAUUUAUGUAUGAAAACACAUCUUAAAGUUAGCACAGACCUUUACGUUGAAACUGAUACCUUGUAUAGACCAAUGAUAUGCUCA
rnacentral:lncRNA from 1 species